rnacentral:lncRNA from 1 species
UAGUGAACAGUGCAGACCAAGAUCAGCCUGCACAUCCAUGAGUUAGGGCCACGUGUGAGGCACAUGUUCUCUGUGACAUUAUUUGUAUUCAACCUCUGUUUCAUAUGCGAAAUUGCCAGUUGCAGAGAACAAGUUUGUGCUGGUACAGAAUUCAGGAACACUCACAGGAAAGGUUAAAUGUCUGCCGGAACCAGCCGGCCGGAACACAACUGAAAUAUUGUUGCAAAAUAGCAUUAAACCUAAAACAAAAAACAAACAAAUCUUUUGCAGUGCAAUGUGAGAAGUGACAGUAAUGCAGAAUACCUACAGACCUUGAACAUGUUGAAGAGAAAUGAAGAGAUACAGCACUAAAUUGUUCAACAUGGUGUGUGUGGGAAACAUAGUGGACAGAAAGCAUGUGACAAAAAAUGAAAAGAAAAGGUGGUGUUGAAUGGUAUGCAGUGAGUGCAAGUCAUCUGAAGUCAGGGACCAUCGUAUUGCACCAUUCCAGAAAGCAGUCUACAGAAUAAAUACCAUACUUCCGUUUUCAAG